ensembl:lncRNA
AAAGGGUUCCUCAUUCUUAGCAGGAGAGAAGCAUGGGAAGAGAGAGGCGCGUGAAUUUAAAGGACCUGUUGUGAGGAUAAGGACCUGUUGUGAGGAUAAGGACCUGUUGUGAGGAUAAGUCUGAACUGGGUAUACAGUAGGCAGAUUUGCACAUCGUCAGAGGAAGAGGAGAAACGCGACGUGAUGCGGCCCCUCAGAGGCCCCGCCGGCUAAAUGAAGACAGAUGCGGGCGUUCGCUUUCAAGAGGUGGUGCAAAUCGUAAUGGAUGGCCACUGCAGAUUUCAAGCCUUCAAUUCGGAGUCAUAGGAUCCCAGACAGCUGAUCGAGUUUCGUCAAAUGGCUUUCAUGAAAUUUCUCCAGUGGCUCUAUUGAUUUUGUGGACCUCCUCACCUCCGAGUCUGACCGUGGAAAAUGGACAUGCACACACAUAACUGACGAGAUAAACAGAGAAGAGCUUCAAACAUUUCCUCUCAAUGGCCAUUUUUAGCUGCAUGGAAGCAAAGCCAGAUAGAGCUUGAAGUGGACCCUGACCUGGCACCAGUGCGGCCAGAUCAGGGCCAAGUCCACCCGGCAGAUCACCGCCAACUGAGACUCCAGAGGCCUGGACCCUCUCGGGGGAGUAGGGGAUGAUGGAUGAGAUCUUCCUAAACUUAUGCAGCUCUACGUUCCUCUGGAUAUUGUGUUUCCGAUUCAAAUAGGCCACUGAUCACUUCAUAUAUAUGAGCUCUAGAAAAAGCGUGGUUAUAGAAUGUCAAAGGCAUCACCCCCGCAUAAAGGGUAGUGUAAUGUAUGAUUUAUAUCCUAUCACAACAACAACAAAAAGUAAAACAAAGACAUGAACGAAAACAUGCACAUGCAAGUGUGUGUGCGGGUGUGUGCGUGUGUGUGUGUGUGUGUGUGUGAUCCUGGAUAACUGAGUUCCCCAGUGCACUUCAUUUUUGUCCCUCCUAAUAUGUCCAUCAGCCACUGCACUGCAAAAAUUCAGCUUUCAAAAACAAAAAAAAACAAAAGAAAUAAAAUGGGUCUUAUAUUGCUUAAAAUAAGCAAAAUGAUCUGCCAACAGAACAGGAAAAUUUGACUCACCAAGAUUAAAAAAAUAUAGCAGUUUUGUACUUGUCAGUGGUGAUCAAACUAGUUUCAAGCAUUAACUUGUUCAGAAC